UUUCACCACAUGAGGACGCAGCAAGAAGGCGCCAUCUUGGAAGCAGAGAGCAGGCCCUCACCAGAUACUGAAUCUGCUGGUACCUUGAUUUUGGACUUCCCAGUCUGCAGAACUGUUUUCCUGAGACCCUGGAUUCCAGUAAACGGUCCUGCCAUCUCAACUCGUGCCUCCAGAUCAUGGACUAUGUGUGACCUUGGGCAAGUUACUUCAUCUCUCUGGGCCUCAAUAAAACAGAGUAAUCCUAGUACCUGCCUCCAAGGGUUAUGGCAUUUGAGAAACCCUACAGACAAUGGAAUUCGAUGGUUGUUAAUGGAGGAAAAAGAUAUGGAGGAAAGGAGAACAAACACAAGAUGAAGGCGGGCUGCAGUGAGUGUGUGGAAUGAACCUCCUCUUCCUGCUGCAAGAGGUGGACCUCAGCAAAUUGAUCUCUGAGCUUCCUCACAGCUCAAGUAAAGAAAGUAAUGCAAUGAACUACAAAACCCGGAGUGUCCCUCAAGUUAAAAAUAGGCCUGCUGCUCAGAAGCAGCCAGCUUUGAUGGGCCCUGAAGUAAAAGAAAAGAUGCUUCCCCAGACCUUCCUAAAGGGACAAGGUGGCAGGUAGAGGUGAAGGAUAUGUGUAUAGUGGGCCCCUCCCCAUGUGGGGGUAAUACAAUCUCCCAGGGUCUUUGUGAGUCUGAAAUAAAAUGAAAUGC
rnacentral:lncRNA from 1 species